GACGAACCGUGCGAACGUUGUUCGGAAUCACUGGGCUUAAAGGGCGCGUAGGCGGGUGUGCAAGUCUGUGGUGAAAGCCUCCAGCUUAACUGGAGAAGUGCCAUGGAUACUGCACAUCUUGAGGAGGGUAGGGGCAUCUGGAACGGUCGGUGGAGCGGUGAAAUGCGUUGAUAUCGACCGGAACUCCGGUGGCGAAGGCGAGGUGCUGGACCGUUUCUGACGCUGAGGCGCGAAAGCCAGGGGAGCAAACGGG
rnacentral:rRNA from 1 species